rnacentral:rRNA from 1 species
GUCUAUAGCCAUGCCACCCUGAACGUGCCUCAUCUUGUCUGAUCUCAGAAGCCAAGCAGGGUCGGGCCUGGUUAGUACUUGGAUGGGAGACCACCUAGGAAGACCAUGUGCUGUAAGCA